AGAGGGGACACCACUUGAUGGGGGAACGUCAAUGUCACAAUAUAAGAAGAACAAGUAGAACGGGAUUUGUUACAGCAGAUUUCUUUGGAAAAUACGAUCUGCCACCAUGAGACAACAAAUUCAAAUAAUUAGGGGUGUAUCAGGCACGAUUCGAGAUGCUGAGAUAGAGCCGAGAAGAAGACGGACAGAAUCCCUGUCCUCAGGAAUCUUGCUCGCGGGCGGGAGAAGACAGAUCAUGAACACUCUUCCACGCAGGAGACAAAUUCAGCCAACACCUGCCUCCUGAAGAGCCUCCAACCUCUGGCUAGCAGUCCAGCCUCCAUCAUCCCCCAGCACCCAGCGACGCUCCUCUCCCCCAGUGACUUCAGGUUGAGGUGACUUUGGCAGGAAACAGCUCCAGCCCCUCCCUGCAGUCUGAAGGGUAAUGCUGGCAGCCACGGGGAUGAACUGAGCAGGUCAGGAUGGAAGCAGGGCGACUUGGGAGGACAUAAGGCGGCCUGGACCGGGGUUUUUGCCCAGAGGCAGCAUUCAAUGGAGCGCCGAGUCCAGAGUUGCAGGCAGGCCUCUGGGGCCACCCGCUGGAAGCCUGGGUUAUAACAACGUGUGACGGGCACAGGGACCUGGGCUGUGGGCAUCCUGUCUGCCUCUGGGAGAUGGUGGCUACGGUGGAGAGAUGACAGAGGAGUUUGGGUUGGGGUCUUCUCACUUUCUAGCUGUGGGAAUUGAGUCUAAUCCUCAGCUUCUCAAAGCCUCACUUUUUCUCUCUCUAAAAUGGGAUUCAUAAUACUCAUCUGGCUAGAUUGCAAUGAGCGUUAAAGAUAAAAGUGGUCGAUGCACAGGUGACGCUUGCUAUAUUGCAGGUAUUGUUCUAAGGGCAUCUCUUAUGUUGGAUUGAAUUGUGUUUCU